rnacentral:rRNA from 1 species
CGCUAGCUACAGGCUUAACACAUGCAAGUCAGGGGCAGCAUGAGAUCAGCUUGCUAAUCUUGAUGGCGACCGGCGCACGGGUGAGUAACGCGUAUCCAACCUUCCCCCUGCUCAGGGAUAGCCCGCUGAAAGGCGGAUUAACACCUGAUAGCUUCACUAGAUGGCAUCUGACGGUGAAUAAAGAUAACGGCAAGGGAUGGGGAUGCGUCUGAUUAGCUUGUUGGCGGGUAACGGCCCACCAAGGCGACGAUCAGUAGGGGUUCUGAGAGGAAGGUCCCCCACAUUGGAACUGAGACACGGUCCAAACUCCUACGGGAGGCAGCAGUGAGGAAUAUUGGUCAAUGGGCGGAAGCCUGAACCAGCCAAAGUAGCGUGCAGGAAGACGGCCCUAUGGGUUGUAAACUGCUUUUGUACGGGAAUAAAGUCAGGGACGUGUCCCUGUUUGCAUGUACCGUAAGAAUAAGGACCGGCUAAUUCCGUGCCAGCCGCCGC